CUACGGGGCGCACCAGUGAGGAAUAUUGCACAAUGGGGGGAACCCUGAUGCAGCAACGCCGCGUGGAGGAUGACGCAUUUCGGUGUGUAAACUCCUUUUAUAUGUCAAGAAAAUGACGGUAGCAUAUGAAUAAGCUCCGGCUAACUCCGUGCCAGCAGGCCGCGGUAAUACGGAGGGUGCAAGCGUUACUCGGAAUCACUGGGCGUAAAGGACGCGUAGGCGGGUUGGAAAGUCAGGUGUGAAAUCCUACAGCUUAACUGUAGAACUGCACUUGAAACUUCUAAUCUAGAGUAUGGGAGGGGGAGAUGGAAUUAGUGGUGUAGGGGUAAAAUCCGUAGAUAUCACUAGGAAUACCUAAAGCGAAGGCGAUCUCCUGGAACAUUACUGACGCUAAGGCGUGAAAGCGUGGGGAGCAAACAGGAUUAGAUACCCUCGUAGUC
rnacentral:rRNA from 1 species